CAGUUGCGUGAUAGGAACAAAGCGAAUUAUUCUUUCGUCUUUUACUAAAGAAUAUCGUGUACUUGUCACUAAAAACAACAAACAUUAAGGGGGUGUUUGGUUAAAUGAUGAGAAUCACUA